CCUACGGGAGGCUGCAGUAGGGAAUCUUCCGCAAUGGACGAAAGUCUGACGGAGCAACGCCGCGUGAGCGAAGAAGGUCUUCGGAUCGUAAAGCUCUGUUGUUAGGGAAGAACAAGUACGGGAGGAAAUGACCGUACCUUGACGGUACCUGACGAGGAAGCCACGGCUAACUACGUGCCAGCAGCCGCGGUAAUACGUAGGUGGCAAGCGUUGUCCGGAAUUAUUGGGCGUAAAGCGCGCGCAGGCGGUCUUUUAAGUCUGAUGUGAAAUCUUGCGGCUCAACCGCAAGCGGUCAUUGGAAACUGGGAAAGUAGAGGGAAGAAAGGGAAAGGGGAUUCCCACGGGGAGGGGUGAAAUGGGAAGAGAUGAGGGGGAACACCAGGGGCGAAGGCGGCUUUCUGGUCUGUAACUGACGCGGAGGCGCAAAAGGGUGGGGAGCAAACAGGAUUAGAUACCCCAGUAGUC
rnacentral:rRNA from 1 species